rnacentral:rRNA from 1 species
GAUGAACGCUGGCGGCGUGCUUAACACAUGCAAGUCGAACGGAAAGGCCUCUGCUUGCAGGGGUACUCGAGUGGCGAACGGGUGAGUAACACGUGGGUGAUCUGCCCUGCACUUCGGGAUAAGCCUGGGAAGCUGGGUCUAAUACCGGAUAGGACAAUGGUUUGGAUGCUGUUGUGGAAAGUUUUUCGGUGUGGGAUGAGCUCGCGGCCUAUCAGCUUGUUGGUGGGGUAAUGGCCUACCAAGGCGUCGACGGGUAGCCGGCCUGAGAGGGUGUACGGCCACAUGGGGACUGAGAUACGGCCCAGACUCCUACGGGAGGCAGCAGUGGGGAAUAUUGCACAAUGGGCGCAAGCCUGAUGCAGCGACGCCGCGUGGGGGAUGACGGCCUUCGGGUUGUAAACUCCUUUCGCUAGGGACGAAGCGUUUUUGUGACGGUACCUGGAGAAGAAGCACCGGCUAACUACGUG